GGAGCUGGAGCUGGAGAACCAGGUGCUCCCUGUCAUCCUUUCUCAUUCAGUCUGCAGGGUCCUUCAGCAAGUGCCCAUCACAGUGAACAAAUUCUUUGAGGGGAAAAAUGAAGUGCAAAGAGAUGAAAGACCUUGUCCAAGAUGCCUGUAAGUGGUGGAGACAGGAUAAGGCUCCAGAUAGGCUGGCUUCAGGGUCUGCAUACUAACCAUCCAUCCCCAAACCCAAAUCAGUGUCUGUCAAUGGGAUGAAGGUAUGGAGCAUCCAGCAGGGGUGUCUGUCAAUGGGUUGAAGCUAUGGAGCAUCCACAAGGGGUGUCUGUCAUUGGGAUGAAGUGAUGUCAACUCCUCAGCAUUUCUGGUCUGCACUGCAUGAGCCUGAAAGCCCUCAGGAUCAGGGAAAAGCUGAACAUAACCUCAGGAAAACCACAGAUAUCUAGUGGAAGACCGUCUAUGUCAGAUGGAAACAGAUCCACGGAGAGGAAGAACAAAGCUACGCCCUGACCAACAAUUAAAAUAACUAUAU